ACUGUGAAGGCCGGUUGCAAGCCGCGAAGCGAGAACGCCCGCCUAAAGAAGGAGAGACAGUGCCUUCAGCUCCGGGCGUUUUUCCAGUGGAAAGAUGUCAGGCUCCGUGGGACUGGGAACCGAGAAGCUUAUUUGCAUUGUGUCUCGAAGCCAAGCUUCUACCUACUCCACUCGGACCCGAGCACCGCACCAGCCGGUCCAUCCGGGUCUGCCGCUCUACACCCUGCACAUCCACGCCUCAUCCAGGGCCUGCAGCGCGGAAGCAUUCCAGAGAAGUCGCGGGAGCCGCCCGGGGACUCCACAGCCCAGUCCUCUCCCCAAGCCACCUCCGCUUUCCACAGCUCCCUGCCACCUUCCGCACUUUCCCCAGAGCUGGAAGUGGGAAACUUCUCCCCUGCAGGGAUCGGACGGGCUUACUCCGUGAAGCCAGCCCGACCCCAGUCCAGAUUCACCGGAUUUCAACAAAACCAAGUCCAUCCGCGUACCCCACUCCCUGGGCCUGCACAGCGCGGGAGGAAAAGAAGCCCGAUGCCAAGCGACUCGGGAGGGCCACCACCCUCGGUAGACCUCGAGGAUUCAUCCCCACCCCGGCUGCUUUGUAAAUUGUUCUUAGGCCACCAACAAGACCAGGAUUUCGAAUUCCACCGCGUCUCCAACUUUGUUCCCUGUGAAAACUCACGAGUCUUUUGGAGAAAAGGGAAGACUAUCCAGGGCCCUACAAACGUUCGGGGCUCAGAGUCACCUCUCUCCCUUUCCCAAAGGAAAGAGCGGCUCAGCUACUCCCAGCUCUCCCUCCCUAUCGCAGGUACUCGCGCGGGAAGAGAAGGAUGCGAUUCUUUUAUUGUGUUUCAGAAAUCCCCCCCCCCCCCCCAUUUGACUCACAUGGCCCCCGAUGUCAGGAGGAGAAAGAGACUCUUGAGAAGAAAAUUCUACCUGCGUGGGUCGAUGUAUUUAUCUGGUCAGAAAGGAGGGAGUAUAAAAACAAAGAGGUGGGACUUGGUGAGACACGCCUGUGAUCUCAGGGGUUCCACAGGAGGAUGGCCCUGA
rnacentral:lncRNA from 1 species